rfam:Schistosoma rodhaini strain Burundi genome assembly, scaffold: SROB_scaffold0000180
ACACUGCUGAGGAGUCCCAUAAUAGGACGAAGCGGACGUCCAGUGC